UAUCUACCAAAAAAUCAGUCUGGUCCUGCAGGGGUGUGACUGACUAAGAAAGUGUAUAAAAAUGUGACCACCCCUGUGAGCAUCACAACAGAUGACAUUUUGGUGCCUUUAGAACCAAUUACCAGGUUUCCAUAGAGUUCUGGUCCCAACAUACAAUGGACUCAACAUACAAUGGUCGUCCUGGAACCAAUUAAUAUUGUAACUUGAGGGACCACUGUAAUCAUCUAUCUCCACCAGGACUUUCAAGAACUUUAUAGGUGUAUCUGAAAGGCAUCCAUACAUUCUUUGAAAACCGGCAGAUGCAUUGUCAGUACUGCUGGCAACCAUCCAUAAUGACCUUUGUGCUAUUGAGACCUGAACGGCACGAUUCCAGAUCAUGUCCCCAGCAAUGAUGGAGGUAGAACAAAGCUACAGCCAUGUUAGCUCAAUUACGAGGAUGAGACGCGGGUUUGGCCCAGAAAGAUGC